CACAGGUGUAUUAAAAAAGUCAUAUCUUGUCUUACCGGAAGACAAUAGCACAAGUCCUGAACAACUAGCUCGUUAUCAGCUAAUCAUAACACCCUGAUGACUCCAUAGUUUCCGUUCUUUUCUGAUCCAACACAGUGACCUAGCUGGAGGGAGGACACUGCAUCUUAUAAGACGCUGUUUUGCACUGUGCAUAUUACAGACCAAAACAGGCACCCACUUAACGCAAGAACGGAUCUGAUGAAGAAACGGGAAGGCCUGAAUGCUGGUUAUGAAAAGUAAAGAGGGCAGGAUCCUAAAGUAAGAGAUUUCCCUCCCCAAGGUCAGCCCCACACGCCGCCCUCUGGCUGGGCUGAAGGACUCUCCAGAUUCGCUUCUCAGGCCGGGCAGAGCUGAAACGUGCCAUUUUGUAGCCGAAUCUGACAGCAGCUACAGCGUAGCCAGGGCGGGGAGGCGGCGGCGGCGCCGCGGAGCCCGUGGCUAUGCAGCAAGGCGGAAAGCGGGGAAACAGGCCAUCGAUUAAGGCAAUUCACAAGGACUAAAAAACAGAGGGAUGUCCGCCUCAAAGUUCACUUCAUGAAAGAAGCGAUGCAUCCUGCAUCAGAACUGAGCCCUACCCAUGAAGCAGCAGAUUUAGACUGAUGAGGAGUGCCUUCCAGCUGCCCCUCAUUUGAGGCACACAGCUGGGGGUCGUCAGGGCUUGAUGUCGAUCCAGGAGACGGAGGUGACGGAGAGCUUGGGUGAUGGAGAGCGAGUCGUAGACCAAGUGGUGGGCUCUGGUUCAGCUCGAGAACUUGAUUGCAUAGGCUCAUCUGCUGCUGGUUGUUUUUCCUUGAAAAACAUGGUGAUCGGCAACUGUCGCUGUUGUCUCUUGAGCUGCUCAAACAU